AUGAAUUUCAUGCCAGUUCUUCACUUUCUUCCCCUUUCUAACUUUUUUUUUUUUUGCUACAGGUUUUCUUCUUCUCAUCAUCGCAGUCCAAGAGGGUUUUCUUCUUCUCAUCAUCGGAGUCCUAGAGGGUUUUCUUCUUCUCAUCAUCGGAGUCCAAGAGGGUUUUCUUCUCUUAUUACUUCACCCACGCCGAUUUUAUUUGUUAGGGUUUCUGUUCUUUAUUACUUCAUAUGUAAUUUCAAAGAAACUCAUUCUUAG